AUUGAACGCUGGCGGCAGGCCUAACACAUGCAAGUCGAACGAGCGGCGGACGGGUGAGUAACGUAUGGGGAUCUGCCCGAUCGAGGGGGAUAACUAAUGGAAAAGGUGGCUAAUACCGCAUACUCUCGGUUUAACCUAUAUGGGAUUAGCUAGUGGGGGGGGUAAAGGCUCACCUAGGCGACGAUCUCUAGCUGGUCUGAGAGGAGGAUCAGCCACACUGGGACUGGGAAACGGCCCAAACCCCUACGGGAGGCAGCGGGGGGGAAUAUGGCAAAAGGGGGGAAGGCCUGAUGCAGCCAGGCCGCGUGUAUGAAGCAGGCCUUAGGGUUGUAAGGUACUUUCAGCGGGGAGGCGUUACCCGCAGAGGAAGCACCGGCUAACUACGUGCCAGCAGCCGCGGUAAUAC
rnacentral:rRNA from 1 species